CCUGGCUCACGAUGAACGCUGGCGGCGCGCCUAACACAUGCAAGUCGAACGAGAGAUGAGGAGCUUGCUCUUCAAAUCGAGUGGCGAACGGGUGAGUAACGCGUGAGGAACCUGCCUCAAAGAGGGGGACAACAGUUGGAAACGACUGCUAAUACCGCAUAAGCCCACGGCUCGGCAUCGAGCAGAGGGAAAAGGAGCAAUCCGCUUUGAGAUGGCCUCGCGUCCGAUUAGCUAGUUGGUGAGGUAACGGCCCACCAAGGCAACGAUCGGUAGCCGGACUGAGAGGUUGAACGGCCACAUUGGGACUGAGACACGGCCCAGACUCCUACGGGAGGCAGCAGUGGGGAAUAUUGCACAAUGGGGGAAACCCUGAUGCAGCGACGCCGCGUGGAGGAAGAAGGUCUUCGGAUUGUAAACUCCUGUUGUUGAGGAAGAUAAUGACGGUACUCAACAAGGAAGUGACGGCUAACUACGUGCCAGCAGCCGCGGUAAAACGUAGGUCACAAGCGUUGUCCGGAAUUACUGGGUGUAAAGGGAGCGCAGGCGGGAGAACAAGUUGGAAGUGAAAUCCAUGGGCUCAACCCAUGAACUGCUUUCAAAACUGUUUUUCUUGAGUAGUGCAGAGGUAGGCGGAAUUCCCGGUGUAGCGGAGCAAUGCGUAGAUAUCGGGAGGAACACCAGUGGCGAAGGCGGCCUACUGGGCACCAACUGACGCUGAGGCUCGAAAGUGUGGGUAGCAAACAGGAUUAGAUACCCUGGUAGUCCACACCGUAAACGAUGAUUACUAGGUGUUGGAGGAUUGACCCCUUCAGUGCCGCAGUUAACACAAUAAGUAAUCCACCUGGGGAGUACGACCGCAAGGUUGAAACUCAAAGGAAUUGACGGGGGCCCGCACAAGCAGUGGAGUAUGUGGUUUAAUUCGACGCAACGCGAAGAACCUUACCAAGUCUUGACAUCCUGCGACGCACAUAGAAAUAUGUGUUUCCUUCGGGACGCAGAGACAGGUGGUGCAUGGUUGUCGUCAGCUCGUGUCGUGAGAUGUUGGGUUAAGUCCCGCAACGAGCGCAACCCUUAUGGUCAGUUACUACGCAAGAGGACUCUGGCCAGACUGCCGUUGACAAAACGGAGGAAGGUGGGGAUGACGUCAAAUCAUCAUGCCCUUUAUGACUUGGGCUACACACGUACUACAAUGGCGUUAAACAAAGAGAAGCAAGACCGCGAGGUGGAGCAAAACUCAGAAACAACGUCCCAGUUCGGACUGCAGGCUGCAACUCGCCUGCACGAAGUCGGAAUUGCUAGUAAUCGUGGAUCAGCAUGCCACGGUGAAUACGUUCCCGGGCCUUGUACACACCGCCC
rnacentral:rRNA from 1 species